AGGCCCUGCUGUGAAGGCCCCGGCAAAGGUCAGGGCUUGGUCCGCGUGACGCUCCUUCCCGUGCUGGUCCGAGCUGCUCUGCCUCAGAGUUCGGGUAACAGAGGCAUCAGGACACCUUGUGUCUGGCACCCUAGCAGUGAGCAGCCACUCCUGGGCUCCCUGAGGAGGUUUGACAGUUUGCGAGUGUGGGUGAGCGAUGCCAAUUCUGAGCCAUUCCAUUGAGACCCUCCUCUGGGGACAGAAUCACAAGGCAGCUGGAUUCAUGAGGCAGGUACACAGAGACUAAUUGUUGAAAUACUAGCUUCUCACUGUCAUGGAGUCUAUGUGGCAU
rnacentral:lncRNA from 1 species